rnacentral:rRNA from 1 species
UACGAAGGGUGCAAACGGUGCUCGGAAUUAUUGGGCGUAAAGCGCACGUAGGCGGCUUUGCAAGUCGGAUGUGAAAUCCCUCGGCUCAACCAAGGAAGUGCAUCCGAAACUGCAGAGCUUGAGUACGAAAGAGGAUCGCGGAAUUCCCGGUGUAGAGGUGAAAUUCGUAGAUAUCGGGAGGAACCCCAGUGGCGAAGGCGGCGAUCUGGGUCGAUACUGACGCUGAGGUGCGAAAGCGUGGGGAGCAAACAGG